rnacentral:lncRNA from 1 species
CCAGCUGCAACAGAAAGUAGGACUUUAGUUCUUUCCCUGCCUGUGGAGUCUGCAUGCUGGAGGAUUCGUGCCCUCCCCAAGUUCUGGCCAGGAGGCUUCUCCGCCCAUUCAAAUUGUUACAAAGUUCAGCUGGGGAUUUCCUUCUCCUUGUGGCGUUUUCCCCACACCUCUGGCCACCCUCCUGAAGGAUCCCUGUGAUGACAGGCAGGAAUGGCCUGCUUGGGGACCCAGCAAGCUCACAGGGCCUUUCCUGCUGCUUCCUCUACUCCUGUAUUUCACUCAGCUGUCUACGUUGACUCAGCUCCAGAUGGACUCUCAGGAUUCAGGGGAUCAUGGCAGACGGAAGGCAGGACUAGAUUGCAGCUCUGGACAGAGCAGCAUGCAGAAGCUUGCAUUGCGAAUUUUAACUUCAGGUUGACUGCAAGAACAAACCAGCAAUCCCAGGAGGACCCACAGACCCUCUGAAGGAAGCAGACUUCUCCUGUAGGACCUGAGAGACACCCCAAAUACUGUAAUACUGGCUUCCUCAAAUCCAUUGAGAAGUGUGACCGGCCUGAAACAGUUCCUAUAAACUUGAUAAAUUAAUGAGGGAAGAAGAGAAGGGAGAAACAAAAUAUGCCCAGCUUGCAGCCCACUCGGCGUUCAUCAUGAGGUCAGCUGCUCUCUGACGCUUCUUCUGAGCUGCAUAGUGCCUGUUGUGCUGUAGUCGUGUAGACCCUGUAGUUUCCCUUAACUGCUCUAUAGAUAGAGUUUCAUGAUGUUCAAGUUACGUUUUCCUUUUGGGAGACUGCUUCAGGUCCUGUAUACUGAUGCAGCUACUGACUCAGCUGGUCUUAAGGACCCCAUGAGGAGCUGACUCAAAAGAACAGUUUCUACAUCCUGAUGAUUUCAUCCCCCAUACCCCAUCCAAUCAACAACCCUAAUUUUCCAACCCCUCACCCUCCACAGUCCUCUUAAAAACCCCAGCUCAGAACUCCUCAGGGAGAUGCAUUUGAGGGUCUCCUCCCAUCUCCUCACUUGAUGCACUAUGAUCAUUAAACUUUCUCUGCAAACCCUGCUGUCUCAGUGUAAUUGGUCUACUGCACAGCAGUAUAUGAACCUGUUGGUCCUAUAACAUGCUUUUUUCUUUUUUGGAAGUGAUAUAUGAAACUGGUGUUACCUUGACUUUGAAUGUUUGGUAAAACCCUCCAGUGAAACGGUCC